rnacentral:misc_RNA from 1 species
ACAAAUCACUAAGCAGUCACCUGAGUCUCUAUUGCAACCUUGCCUGAGUACCUAACUUGCUCAGUCUUCUCGGCUUCCUCCCACAGCUCAGGCAGUGCUUCCCUGAUGUUGUGUAUGCUCUCCAGUGCAUGAUCUGCUCCUUUCACUCUGUGCGGAGUUCCAACCAAUACUGUGUGAAGACCAAUGCGCUUGCCCGCCUGUAUAUUGCGAACACUAUCAUCGAAGAACACCGUCUUCUGGGGAUCCAUAUUCCCAAUCUUGAGAGCUUGCUCCAUAGCCACCUCAGAUGGCUUGCACAGAAUUGGACAUUUGGGCAACUCACCACCAUCAUCUACAUCUGUCCUCGACAAAUACUCAACUAUGUCAAACACAUUAUCCGCCGUCUGGUCCUCACAAGGCGGAUUCAGAG